rnacentral:rRNA from 1 species
GCGAACGCUGGCGGCGUGCCUAACACAUGCACGUCGCACGUGAAAAGGGAAACCUGAGUAAAGUGGCGUACGGGUGAGUAACGCGUAGGUAAUCUACCCCAGAAUCUGGAAUAACCUGCCGAAAGGCGGGCUAAUACUGGAUAGAGCGAGGGAACUCGUAAGAGAGUUUUUCGGGAAAGGGAGCCCGCAAGGGCCUUCGUUCUGGGAUGAGCCUGCGUCUCAUUAGCUAGUUGGUAAGGUAACGGCUUACCAAGGCGAUGAUGAGUAGCUGGUCUGAGAGGAUGAUCAGCCACACUGGAACUGAAACACGGUCCAGACUCCUACGGGAGGCAGCAGUGGGGAAUCUUGCGCAAUGGACGAAAGUCUGACGCAGCCACGCCGCGGGAGUGAAGAAGGCCUUCGGGUUGUAAAGCUCUGUCGGAUGGGACGAACAUCUUCAUAGUGAAUAGCUAUGAGGACUGACGGUACCAUCAAAGGAAGCACCGGCUAACUCCGUG